UUUUAUACUCAUUGCAUUUGCGAGGACCUGUUCAAUUUAAACAUAUUACUAGACAGUGGAAUUGAAAUAAGGUUGGACUUUCUAAGUAAUAGCGAAUGAACAGAAGCUUAUUCACGUCAUAAGUUCAAUAGUAAUGGAUAUUAACAUGUAGUUAAAUUAGUUGAAUAAUUCCAAAUUAUUGAAACCUUGUUCAAAUAUAGGAUACUAGAGGAUGGAAAUCCCGUAUUUUACUAGGUAUGGAUUUCGUCUCAUCUAUCUUUAGAGUACUUCUCCCUGAUACUAGAGCUUUAAGAGUAUGUUGAUAAACAUAAAAUGAUAUAGGUUUGGUAAGGGACCUUUAGCUUACAAGUACCUUAAGGGAAUGAUGAAAAGAACUCUGGAGAGGGAGUUAAAUAGUUUAUGCGCUUUUUAGUAGAACGUGCAUCAAAGUAAUCAGAUUUACUUUGAUAUAAAAUAAGCAUUACAACUUUAUUCAGAUUUUAUAUUUAUAAUAAUUUACAAAUCAGAGUGAUGUAUGUAUAUAUCAUAUUAUUUCGAUUUAACCUGUCUGGAAACACGGACCAAAGGAGUCUAGUAAGAGUGCAAAACUUUUAAAGUUCAAUUAUUUUGAUUAUAAGUAACUUAUAUCAUACUAGUAGUAACAGUAAAUUAUAAACUAUGGAUUGUGUAUUUUUCGGCAUAUAAGCAUUUAAACUAGGUCCCGAAAGAUGGUGAACUAUACUUAUGCAGGGUUAAGUCAGGAGAAAUUCUGGUUGAGGCUCGCAAUGAUACUGACGUGCAAAUUGUUCAUUGGAUACGGGUAUAGGGGCGAAAGACUAAUCGAAUUAUCUAGUAGCUGGUUGCCUUUGAAGUUUCCCUCAGGAUAGCUAGAGAUAGUAAAAAGUUACAUGAGGUAAAGCUAAUUAUUAGAGUUUAAGGGAUUGAAUAAGUCUCAGUCUAUUAUUAAACUUUAAAUGUGUGUAAAGCGUUGUGAUCUUAAUUGUGGUGACCCGUAGAUUAAUAACUCUCUGUGGGCCAUUUUUGGUAAGCAGAACUGGCGCUACGGGUUGUUCCGAAAGCGAGGUUAAGAAGCUAAAUUGUUAGCUUAGUCUGAUACCAUAAAGGGCGUUACUUCAUUUGAAUAGCAGGACGAUGAUCAUGGAAGUUGAAACUCGCCAAGGAGUGUGUAACAACUCACCUGCCGAAUCAAGCAGCCCCAAAAAUGGAUGGCGCUCAAGGAUACUUUUGACACUAAGCUACUGAUAUAUUUGAUGUAGAUGUUAGUAUGUAGGAUGGUGAAGCAGUAACAGUAAAAAAUUACAUGUACGUUAUAUUGGAGGUAUUGUUUGUACAGAUCUUGGUCUUAGUAGCAAAUUUUCAUUAAAGAUAUAUGAAUACUGACGUGGAGUAAGAUUCCAUAUCAACAAUAAUUGGGUGUGGGUUAGUGGAUCCUAAAAAUAAUCAAUUAUAUUAAUAGUAAUUUACAAAGCUAUUUCGAUAGGAUUUCCGGUUAAUAUUCUUGAAAUGUAUAUUGUGCUAUUAUUAAGGUAACCUUACAAUUGUGGUUACAUGAUCUAAUGAAUCUAUAAGAAGUGUCCAUUCUUAUUCAAAUUACUAUGAUUCAUGAAUAAGUUUGCUUUGAGAUCGGAUUAUAUAUAGUUAAAAGCAUUGCGUUAUUCGUGAUGAAUGAUACACUCUAGAUUGGUUUAAAAAAGCUACUUCUUUAAAUGUCAUUGAAUUUUCUCCAUAUUAAUCACCGCAUCAGGUCUCCAAGGUAAUAAGCCUCUGGUUAAUAGAGAAAUGUGGGUAAGGGAAGUCGGCAAAAUGGUUCUGUAAAUUUGCGAUAAAGAAUGGCUCAUUAAGUUGGGUUAUAGGGCUCAUGGGAUAGGUUAUGUAAUAUCAAAUAUUACCGAAUAUAUUUUAUGAUAUGUUUGGAAAUUUUAUCAUUUAUAUGGUUGACAACUUGAGGGAGAUAUUUCGAUAAGAUAUUUAAGUUCCGUUAACAAUUAACAACUAAAAGUGAACUGGCGCUAACCAGAGGAACCCGACUAUUUAAUUAAAAUAAAGCAUUGUGAAGGAUUUGACGGUUGUUGAUACAAUGUGAUUUCUGCCCAGUGCUCUGAAUGUUAUAAUUAAGAAAUUCAAUAAAGCGCGGGUAAACGGCGGGAGUAACUAUGACUCUCUUAAGGUAGCCAAAUGCCUCGUCAUCUCAUUAGUGACGCGCAUGAAUGGAUUAACGAGGUUCCUUCUGUCCCUUCCUACUAUCUAGCGAAAUCACAGCCAAGGGAACGGGCUUGGGUGUAAUGGCGGGGAAAGAAGACCCUGUUGAGCUUGACUCUAUUUUGACGUUGUGAAACGGUAUUGACAGUGUAGAAUACGUGGGAGUUAUGAAGCAAUUUUGAAAUACCACUACGUCGAUCGCCGCGUUACUUAUAUAAUUAUGAUGGGAGUACUUAGUUGAGUAUGAUUCUAUGUUAACCUAUCCUAAGAAACUUGCUUAUAUAUAUCAUUAGAUAGGGAGUUUGGCUGGGGCGGCACAUCUGUUAAAAGAUAACACAGAUGACCUAAGAUCAAUUCAAUGCGAACAGAAAUUGCAUGUGGAGUUUAAGUGUAAAAGCUGAUUUGACUUUGAUAGUCAGUUUGUGUCUGAGCACUGAAAGGUCUGGCUUAGCGAUCCUUUAGAUAUUUAAUUUCAAAGCUAUAGGUGUCAUAAAAGUUACCACAGGGAUAACUGGCUUGUGGCGGCCAAGCGUUCA
rnacentral:rRNA from 1 species